rnacentral:rRNA from 1 species
CCUACGGGAGGCAGCAGUAGGGAAUAUUGCUCAAUGGUGGAAACCCUGAAGCAGCAACGCCGCGUGGAGGAUGAAGGUUUUCGGAUUGUAAACUCCUUUUGUUAGAGAAGAUAAUGACGGUAUCUAACGAAUAAGCACCGGCUAACUCCGUGCCAGCAGCCGCGGUAAUACGGAGGGUGCAAGCGUUACUCGGAAUCACUGGGCGUAAAGAGCGCGUAGGCGGGAUAGCAAGUCAGAUGUGAAAUCCUAUGGCUUAACCAUAGAACUGCAUGUGAAACGGUUAUUCUAGAGUAUGGGAGAGGUAUGUGGAAUUCGUGGUGUAGGGGUAAAAUCCGUAGAGAUCAAGAGGAAUACUCAUUGCGAAGGCGACCUGCUAGAACAUAACUGACGCUGAUGCGCGAAAGCGUGGGGAGCGAACAGGAUUAGAUACCCGUGUAGUC